CGUAAGCAUUAAGCGUGCGUUGGCACAAAGCCGAGCGCACACAGUCCUGUUUGUCGAAACGAAUGAUACCGACCAUCUCGUCCUCUUCGAAGCGCUCCAGCGCGUCGCUAAGGCCGGAUUUCACGCCGCGUGGCAAAUCGCACUGGGUAAUAUCGCCGUUAACGAUCACCGUGACGUUCUCGCCCAGACGGGUC
rnacentral:antisense_RNA from 12 species